GUCCUGGCCUCGGGACAGCCUGCACAGCUGCCCAGCCUGUGGAGACGGGACAGCCCUGUCCCACUCACUCUUUCCCCUGCCGCUCCUGCCGGCAGCUCCAACCAUGGGAGGCCGCGUCUUUCUCGCAUUCUGUGUCUGGCUGACUCUGCCGGGAGCUGAAACCCAGGACUCCAGGGGCUGUGCCCGGUGGUGCCCUCAGAACUCCUCGUGUGUCAAUGCCACCGCCUGUCGCUGCAGUCCAGGGUUCAGCUCUUUUUCUGAGAUCAUCACCACCCCCACGGAGACUUGUGACGGUACAGAGGCUUGAGGGCAGCGCAGGGGACAUCCGCGAUUAUGAGGCAUUGCCCAGCCAGUGGGGGACAGAGGUUGUUGUGAGGGGCCACAGCCUUACCUUCCAGACUAUCAUCAUGGCCAGAGAAAAGAAAAAGAGGGCAGGCGUGGUGGCUCACGCCUGUAAUCCCAGCACUUUGGGAGGCUGAGGCGGGCAGAUCGUUUGAGGCCAGGAGUACUCAGA
rnacentral:lncRNA from 1 species